UAAUUAACGGACAUAAUAGGGCUUGUUUAUUUACCCGGAUUAGUCAAGUAGUUUCAGACUACUUGGAGACUAAUAAAAUCAUAGAACACCCUGGGACAAAAUUGUCCCAAGUAUGGAGUACUAUUAGGUCUGCUCGAACUUGUAAUUCACAACCAUUUUGAAAAAAUAAACGCGGGACUAGAUUGGACUCAUAGUCCAUCCCGCCUAGUUCGGGUAAAUCAAACAUGCUAAUCUAGUAAUUCAUUGUAGAGUAGAAUUUUCAAGUUGAUUAGAACCUCUUGAGAGUAAUUAAUUAUGAGUUUGUUUGGACUUUUGAGUUAGUCUUUUAGUUAAGAUAUAUUUUCUUUGCUAAAGUAGAAUAACAAUUAAGUAUUAUGUUAAAAGUCUACCACCUUCUUCUUUAGAUCUAUAAAAUGGAGGAUAGAAUGGUGAGCUAGGUCACAUAAUCCUUCUACUGAGGCUCCCGCUCUUGCUCGCCGCUCCCACUCUUAAAAUAUAUGACUAUAUUUUGAUUAAAAAAUUGUAUAAUAUAGACGUUCUUACUUUCAAGAUAUUUUGACAAAAGACACUCUCGCGCAUUCGCUCUCGCUUCUGCUCGUGUUUUAUGUGAUUUAGGUGGUGAGAAGUAGAGCAAAGAGUGUGCAGAAAGACUUCCCUUUGUAAUCUUUCUACUGCAUGUAUGCAAAUGGACCAUGGUUGUUGCUAAACAUAAACAAGACCAUACGCUAGUUAGCUAAUUCAUUGUAGUUGCCAAAAAAGGAAAAAACAAAGGGACUUUUAACGAGUAUUAUGUUAGGUAAAACCUAAUAAUAGAGAAAAAGAACAAACUAUGACGUUAGCAUGGCCAAUGACGUGCACGGCAUUCAUUUCCCGUUUUUUUAUUGCUAUUCCGCAAAAAUGUGUACAAAAUGAUGUAAAAUGGUGCAGGUAUAACAAAUAUAUCGUUUCUUUUUUGAGUAAAAAUUUUCUAUAUGCUUACAAUUUUCCAACUAAAACUUUCUGGGGAGCUAAUUUUUGUAUAUCAAAUAAUACGAUUGUCCUUUAAUUAGAUUUUUUAAUUUUUUUUUUCAAUAACACGAAUUAAUAACAUAUUAACAUUCUCUUUUUUUUAAAAAAUUGAUAAUAAAGCUUAUUUUUUAAGUAUAUUUAGAUUAUGAGCACUUAAAAUGUAAAACAUUUAGAAUAUUUUUUUAAAAAAAAUUGUUGAUAAGAAAGUUUAAUUUUUUUUAAGUAUAUUUUCGUUAGGAAUACUUAAAAAGUAAAUAAUUUAGGUCAAUUCUUUUUUAAAAAAGUAGUUAUUGAUAAAAAAUAAAAUUAGAGUUAUUUACAAAUAAAUAAUAUUUUUUUUAAAAAAAAUAUUUAUUUAUUUUAAUGGGUAUAUUGAGGAAAAAAAAAUUAGAAACUCUAAAUCAAAUGACAAGUUUGUUAUAUUUGCACGAAACUUAGCUUCAGGAGGGAGUCUUGACAUUAAUUUUAAAAAAAGUAUGGGAGAUUACUACUAUUUUUAUAAUUACAUGACAAGUAGCUGCAUUUGUCAAAAAUCUCAGGGAAAGUCAGUAAAAUUCACCUAAAAAAAAUCAAAGCUACCAUGAAAAAGUAAAUAAGGCGACGCACUAUCAUAAUGCUGCUAGUCGCUACUAUAUAGUGGAACUUGUGUACCAAUUAAGAGAUUUCAAGUUCAAAAUCUUUUUAGAUGCUUUUAAUUUUUGAGUUGGAUAAAUUUAUAUUAAAAUUGGGUCCCCCUUAUAUAUAGUGAGAUUGGUCGCCCAACUUAGUCAGUCAUUCGGUCGGACAGUGAGUUAUUAAAAACAUUGAACGUGGGCGAGUAAUACCUACAUUUUUUCAAUGGGCUCCGUUAUUUUGGAAGAGCCAAUGAAAAAUAUGAGUUACGUUUAUUGAUCCACUUUUAGAUUGUCUUUUGAUAAGGAUUAGGUGAGAAAUCGGACCGCUAUUAUCCUCUAACUUUUUUUUUCCUUCCACAAAAUUUUUGAUCCACACGAAAUUAAAAAAACUACAAGAGUUGUGGUGAAAUAAAACCUAACGGCCGUUUGGCUGCGAGAUGGGAGGGGGAUAAGUUUUAAAAAAGGGGAGAUAAAUUUUAUAGAGGGAUAACCUUUGAAGGGGGAUAAACUUUUAACUUUGUUUGGAUCCUUUUAGAAUGGGUGGAUAAUAGUGGUGAUAAGAAAGACAUAAUAUAGAGAGAAACAAAAUAUAAAAUAUUUAGAUUUAAAAAAAUAUAUUUUUUUUCUAAUAUAUAUAUAUAUAUAAAUAAAAAUAACUUUUGUUUCUCUUUAAUAUUUUUUUUCUUAUCCCCUCACCCCCUUAUCCCCCGGAUAAACUUUUAGGUUAGGCGUCUAAGUUAGGGUCUAAUCUAUAUAGGCCCCCCCAAAAAUUAUCCGCCUCUAUCCACCUGCUGGAGGAAAAAUUACUCCCGUAGGGCAUAAAUUAUCCGCCUCUUCUUUCCCCCGCCAAAAGAACAUGGGGGAGAAAAAUUAUCGGGGGGGAAAAUUAUCCCCCCUUCUUAACUCCACCCAGGCCAAACAGCCCUAGAUUAAGAAAAAAAUUGCCCAAUACUGGCUCAUGUCCAUAUCUUCUAAAGUAGGGGUGGGAUGAAAGAGAAAACUACAAAAAUUGGGAUAAGGUGGGGGAUGAUUUUGCAUGUCUUUUUCUUCGCCAUGAUAACUGCCCCCGGCAACUGCCCGGACGUGUUUCACUAAAAGUAAUAUAUAUUCUUCGUAUUUAUUAUAUAUUAUUUAAUAGAUACAAUUUGUAAUAUUUACUAAUAUACUCAUCAAAUAAAAAAAAAUAAACCUCAAACUAUGAUUUGUUUUUUUUAGUAUCACUUCUCCUCGUAUAUAUAAGGGACUUAAAGGACUAAACUUUAUUUUUUUAAUAGUCAAUUAUAUGUAUUUUUUGUUUUUAUUUUUUUUAAAUCUGCCCCUUAACUAUCCCUAACUUCUUUACUAGUGUCUUUUUUCUCUAAAAGACGGAAGAGUAAACGGGCGGGCCAUACAUUGCAAAAGUACAUAGAGAGUGAGGUAAAGAGAAAAAACGGAUGGAAUCGGCGCAAGGGCUAUGGUGCACUGCAUCGGACGCAUAGGCACUUAGAGAGGUUUCGCGCACUAAGGGUGGGAUCUCACGUCACGGACUCUACGUUGUCAUAGCAAAAAAAGAAAGACGCCCGAUGCCUUACUAACCCCCGCCGUUGGGACGGCUGUCCGUGAAUUCAGCCUCAACUUAAAGGCAUAAACUUUAUUUUUAUAGUCAAUUAGUAUUGUUAUUUUUUGUUUUUAUUUUUUUAUGUGAUGCCCUUUAACUUUUUAAUUUUUAUAAAUUUUAUUUAUAUUUUUAAUAUUAAUUAAGUAAAAAUUAUUCAUUGUUUAUUAUGUUAUUAUUUUUACUUUUUUACCUUAGAAAAUAAAUAAUUUGUGGUUAAUCAAUGAAAAAAAAAAGAAAAACGAGGAUGGGCGGGAAAAAUUCGGUCCCCAUAAGAGAUGGGGGAUUGAGUGAUCAAUUUAGUCCUUGGUAGGGAUUGCGGUGAAAGGAUGAGAAUGUAUAUUCAUAACGGGAAUAUAAUUUAAUACAUUCGCAUAUAGCCAUCCCUAUACAUUAUAUAUUGAAAAAUAAAGGAGUGAUUAUAAAACUUAUAUUUCUCAAAAUCAUUUUUGUCCUCUCUAUCUUAAAACAUAAUUGACCUGAGUAAUAUAUUGCAUUUAUUAUAGGGGAAUUUGGAGAGAGAUUGAGUGGGAGACAGAGAUGAGAAGGCUGAGAAGCAGAUUUGGAUAAAUCCUUUUGACUUUCUGGUUUUUUCAUUAAAGUCAAUCCUCAUUAUUAUAUGGUUUCCAUAAAGAUCUACUCUAUAAAACAUGUGGCUGUUGUAUUUUUAUGGGGAGAGCUGCUUUUUCCCAUGACACCCCCGGCCCCACGCUCAACAAUUAUUAUUAUGCCCCCACCUAUUUUCCCUUACCUCUAGCCGUUCAACUCUUUUUUUUUUUCUAAUUUUUUUUAAACAGUUUUAUUUUUUUAUUAAAUUUAUUUUUUGUUUUAAUCAGUUUUAUUUUUAUUUUUACAUAAAUAAAUUUUUAUUAUAUAUUUAUAAUUAUUUAUUUAUUUUUUAGUUGUAGAUUUUAGGAGUCAAUAUUUAUAAAAAUUUUAAAAAGUAUAAAAAUAUGAAUCAAAAUAAAAAUAUUAUAUAUAUAUAUAUAUAAAAAUAAUAAAAAUACUAACAAUUAAUAAGCAAACACACUAAUAUCUUGCGAACAAAUACUUUUUUUAAAUAAAAAAUCUCUUAGACAAAUAUUGAUUUAACCAUGUUCAAGAAAGAGUACAUGUAAUAAUACACCAAAACAAAUACACAAAAUAUAUCAAAAUAAAAAUUUUAAUCAAUAUUGCUUUCAAAUUCUACUCUCGAUUGGGGUAAUUUAAAGAGAAAUAGAGGUUCUGACAUGUGUCAAAAAUUAAUACAAAAAAUAAUAAAAAAAAAAAAAAUAAUUAAAAUAAAAAAACUAAUAAAAUAAGAAAACAACUACAUAAAAAUUAAUAAAAUUGAAAAAAAUAAAUUAAAAGCACAACAACUGGGAAAAAAAACGGGCAGAGGGUAAUAGGUUGGUGCUGAGAGAUCACGGGUGAAAAAGCAAUUAUGAGAGAGGGGGUAUCAAAGAGUCAUUGUGUUGGGGACCCAGUGGUGUCGGGGGCGGUUGUAGGGGGGAAGCAAAUUUACUUUUAUGGGUGACAAUGUAGUGGGUGAGAAUAUAUUGAUAACAUAUUUCAUGCCCCUUGUUUAAUUUGGGGGGGGGGUGGGGGUUGUUUGAAUCUUGAGAUAAUGACAAGUUAUAGUUUAAAAAAAAUCCUAUAAAUAUAGUAAUAAAAUCCCUUUUAAUUUAUAUUUUCUGUAAUCCACACUGAUUCGUAUAUCCUAGAUUGUGAAACAUUUCGCACAUAUAUUUUAUUCUCAAAAAGGACACAAAGAACUAUGAAGUUUUUUUUCUAUUCCUUGGCCA
rnacentral:lncRNA from 1 species